GACGAACGCUGGCGGCGUGCUUAACACAUGCAAGUCGAACGGAAAGGCCCUGCUUUUGUGGGGUGCUCGAGUGGCGAACGGGUGAGUAACACGUGAGUAACCUGCCCUUGACUUUGGGAUAACUGCAGGAAACUGGGGCUAAUACCGGAUAGGAGCUCCUGCUGCAUGGUGGGGGUUGGAAAGUUUCGGCGGUUGGGGAUGGACUCGCGGCUUAUCAGCUGGUUGGUGGGGUAGUGGCUUACCAAGGCUUUGACGGGUAGCCGGCCUGAGAGGGUGACCGGCCACAUUGGGACUGAGAUACGGCCCAGACUCCUACGGGAGGCAGCAGUGGGGAAUAUUGCACAAUGGGCGGAAGCCUGAUGCAGCAGCGCCGCGUGCGGGAUGACGGCCUUCGGGUUGUAAACCGCUUUCGCCUGUGACGAAGCGUGAGUGACGGUAAUGGGUAAAGAAGCACCGGCUAACUACGUG
rnacentral:rRNA from 1 species